UUUGGUUCGAGAAUAAGUUAUUUUUUUUUUAUUCUUAGAAUAGGUAUAACUAGGUAGGAAUUAGUUUAAUUAUGUGUUUGGACGAGAAUCAAGAUAUUGAGAGAAAUCAUAAAAAUUCUGUUUGGGUGAUUGGAUUGAAAUUGUAAGAGUAUGAGUAAUUAUGAUUAAAAUUAAAAAUAAUUUAUUUUAAUAAUAAUUAUCUAAGUAUGUAGUGUUCCAAAGCUUUGGAUAGGAUUAGCUUCAGUGUUAGUGACUAGUCGACACAUCUGGAGAGUGUCGGACUGAGUCGGAGUCGUUUCUGUGCGAAAUGGAUGCAGAAAUGGACUCGGCGCAUUUAAAUAAGCAAAACUGGAGUUUU
rnacentral:lncRNA from 1 species